UGAUCUGUUUGCACCUGCUGUUUUUCAAGUGCCUUUAAUUCAUAAUAGUUAAUAUGCCCCCAUCACCUGCCAUCUACUGAAUUAAAUGAUGAAUACCUGUAUACUUGCAUAGCAGUGCUAUGAUUGUUAACCUAUGUACUCUGCAGAACAACCUUAUAACCUAGAUUAAGGAGCUUAUGUGCAGUUCCUUUUACCUUUAGUCUUACAACCUCCACUGACGUCAUUAAUUAGGUCAACAACUUUUCUUACUACCCACUUAAGUGAAGUUGUUUCAUACAUUUGUAAUACAGUUAGAUUCUUUUG
rnacentral:lncRNA from 1 species